rnacentral:rRNA from 1 species
UGGGGAAUAUUGCACAAUGGGCGCAAGCCUGAUGCAGCAACGCCGCGUGAACGAUGAAGGUCUUCGGAUCGUAAAGUUCUGUUGCAGGGGAAGAUAAUGACGGUACCCUGUGAGGAAGCCCCGGCUAACUACGUGCCAGCAGCCGCGGUAAUACGUAGGGGGCUAGCGUUAUCCGGAUUUACUGGGCGUAAAGGGUGCGUAGGUGGUCUUUCAAGUCGGUGGUUAAAGGCUACGGCUCAACCGUAGUUAGCCUCCGAAACUGGAAGACUUGAGUGCAGGAGAGGAAAGUGGAAUUCCCAGUGUAGCGGUGAAAUGCGUAGAUAUUAGGAGGAACACCGGUGGCGAAGGCGGCUAUCUGGACAGUAACUGACGCUGAGGCGCGAAAGCGUGGGGAGCAAACAGG